GCCGCCUUAGCUCAGCGGUAGAGCAACUGAUUCGUAAUCAGUAGGUCCGCGGUUCAAGUCCGCGAGGCGGCA
rnacentral:tRNA from 1 species